GGGUGACUGCGUACCUUUUGUAUAAUGGGUCAGCGACUUAUAUUCUGUAGCAAGGUUAACCGUAUAGGGGAGCCGCAGGGAAACCGAGUCUUAACUGGGCGUUAAGUUGCAGGGUAUAGACCCGAAACCCGGUGAUCUAGCCAUGGGCAGGUUGAAGGUUGGGUAACACUAACUGGAGGACCGAACCGACUAAUGUUGAAAAAUUAGCGGAUGACUUGUGGCUGGGGGUGAAAGGCCAAUCAAACCGGGAGAUAGCUGGUUCUCCCCGAAAGCUAUUUAGGUAGCGCCUCGUGAACUCAUCUUCGGGGGUAGAGCACUGUUUCGGCUAGGGGGUCAUCCCGACUUACCAACCCGAUGCAAACUACGAAUACCGAAGAAUGUUAUCACGGGAGACACACGGCGGGUGCUAACGUCCGUCGUGAAGAGGGAAACAACCCAGACCGCCAGCUAAGGUCCCAAAGUCAUGGUUAAGUGGGAAACGAUGUGGGAAGGCCCAGACAGCCAGGAUGUUGGCUUAGAAGCAGCCAUCAUUUAAAGAAAGCGUAAUAGCUCACUGGUCGAGUCGGCCUGCGCGGAAGAUGUAACGGGGCUAAACCAUGCACCGAAGCUGCGGCAGCGACGCUUAUGCGUUGUUGGGUAGGGGAGCGUUCUGUAAGCCGUUGAAGGUGGCCUGUGAGGGUUGCUGGAGGUAUCAGAAGUGCGAAUGCUGACAUAAGUAACGAUAAUGCGGGUGAAAAACCCGCACGCCGGAAGACCAAGGGUUCCUGUCCAACGUUAAUCGGGGCAGGGUGAGUCGACCCCUAAGGCGAGGCCGAAAGGCGUAGUCGAUGGGAAACAGGUUAAUAUUCCUGUACUUGGUGUUACUGCGAAGGGGGGACGGAGAAGGCUAUGUUGGCCGGGCGACGGUUGUCCCGGUUUAAGCAUGUAGGCGGAUGUUCCAGGUAAAUCCGGAACGUUACUAACGCUGAGGUGUGAUGACGAGGCACUACGGUGCUGAAGUGACAAAUGCCCUGCUUCCAGGAAAAGCCUCUAAGCAUCAGGUAACAUCAAAUCGUACCCCAAACCGACACAGGUGGUCAGGUAGAGAAUACCAAGGCGCUUGAGAGAACUCGGGUGAAGGAACUAGGCAAAAUGGUGCCGUAACUUCGGGAGAAGGCACGCUGAUGGUAAGUGAAGUGACUUGCUCAUGGAGCUGAAAUCAGUCGAAGAUACCAGCUGGCUGCAACUGUUUAUUAAAAACACAGCACUGUGCAAACACGAAAGUGGACGUAUACGGUGUGACGCCUGCCCGGUGCCGGAAGGUUAAUUGAUGGGGUUAUCCUCGCGGAGAAGCUCUUGAUCGAAGCCCCGGUAAACGGCGGCCGUAACUAUAACGGUCCUAAGGUAGCGAAAUUCCUUGUCGGGUAAGUUCCGACCUGCACGAAUGGCGUAAUGAUGGCCAGGCUGUCUCCACCCGAGACUCAGUGAAAUUGAACUCGCUGUGAAGAUGCAGUGUACCCGCGGCAAGACGGAAAGACCCCGUGAACCUUUACUAUAGCUUGACACUGAACACUGGUCCUUGAUGUGUAGGAUAGGUGGGAGGCUUUGAAGUGUGGACGCCAGUCUGCAUGGAGCCGUCCUUGAAAUACCACCCUUUAAUGGCUGGUGUUCUAACGUGGGCCCCUAAUCGGGGUUGCGGACAGUGUCUGGUGGGUAGUUUGACUGGGGCGGUCUCCUCCUAAAGAGUAACGGAGGAGCACGAAGGUCAGCUAAUCCUGGUCGGACAUCAGGAGGUUAGUGCAAUGGCAUAAGCUGGCUUGACUGCGAGCGUGACGGCGCGAGCAGGUGCGAAAGCAGGUCAUAGUGAUCCGGUGGUUCUGAAUGGAAGGGCCAUCGCUCAACGGAUAAAAGGUACUCCGGGGAUAACAGGCUGAUACCGCCCAAGAGUUCAUAUCGACGGCGGUGUUUGGCACCUCGAUGUCGGCUCAUCACAUCCUGGGGCUGAAGUAGGUCCCAAGGGUAUGGCUGUUCGCCAUUUAAAGUGGUACGCGAGCUGGGUUUAGAACGUCGUGAGACAGUUCGGUCCCUAUCUGCCGUGGGCGCUGGAGAAUUGAGGGGGGCUGCUCCUAGUACGAGAGGACCGGAGUGGACGCAUCACUGGUGUUCGGGUUGUCAUGCCAAUGGCAUUGCCCGGUAGCUAAAUGCGGAAGAGAUAAGUGCUGAAAGCAUCUAAGCACGAAACUUGCCCCGAGAUGAGUUCUCCCUGACUCCUUGAGAGUCCUGAAGGAACGUUGAAGACGACGACGUUGAUAGGCCGGGUGUGUAAGCGCAGCGAUGCGUUGAGCUAACCGGUACUAAUGAACCGUGAGGCUUAACCUUACAACGCCGAAG
rnacentral:rRNA from 1 species